rnacentral:miRNA from 1 species
UGCCGUCUACUUUACUCCUCGCG